AGGAAAAGGAAUGGAAUUUGAUGACUUUGUGUUUGAUUACAUUGAAGCUCCAUAUAUAGGCUUGUUCACUCCUGAUGAUAUAUAUGUUGGCAAGGUUUUGCCUAUCUAUUUUCCUGUUCGAGACCGUUCUUCUUACCUUCCUUUCACCAUUCAAAAGGAAAUGGUUGAUUCUUCCAUUACUUAUCCAUUGUCUGACCUGCCAAAGAUUUUCCAGCCCUUAUCUGUACUCGAUGAUUCUCUACUCAAAAUCCAACCUGAUGCUGAUAAAUGUGAAAUUCAACCUGAUGAAGCUGAAACCAAAGUCUGUAUUAGAAAUAUGGAAUCAAUUAGUGAAUUUAUCAGUCGUGUUUUUGGAUCAGAAGGGAGUUUCAGAAUUGUGGAAACUAAACAAGCUGAAAUAUCUACUGCCUCGUUACAAGAAUAUACUGUUGUGGAAGAUCCACGAGAGAUUCAAGGUCCAAGAAAGGUAUUCUGUCAUCCUAUGUCUGAUGCUUUCUACUGCCAUUGUUCUAUCGAAACCACGGUUCUGAAGGUCUCAUUAGGUACUGAAAACGGAGAUAAAAUGGAAGCAAUUGGUGUUUGCCAUAUGCACACUUCAGGACAAAAUCCUGAUGAUAUUCUUCAUCACUUGCUUAAAAUCAAGCCUGGAACAACAACCCCUGUAUGCCAUUUCUUGCCAGAUGGUCAUUUUGUCUGGGUUCAAUCAGCUACUCUAAAGAAGGCUUCUUAGAUAAGAGGCUCUGUGCUAUUAGCAAGACUAUCUAGCUACCAUGCAUGUGUGCAAUUAACCAUAAAAAUAAUUGAUGAUGAUCCUGGAAAGCAAAAAUGUUAGAUCUACACCAAUGUAUUUAAGUGUGGUUUAAGCUUAAUAUGUUGUUUAUCACAAUAUAUUGUGAUAGAAUUUGUUCUGUAUUUCUUUAGUGGAACUCUAUGUGUGAUAGAUUUUUGUUAUCUUCCAUCUUCCAGUGAUUGCUAAUCUCUUUCUCUCUCUAUUUGUUACUUCUGCAAAUAUAUAUAUAUAUUAUUGGCAGUUGGUAAUUACUAACUAGUGGAGAAAUUUUGAAAUAAAUUCCGUCUAUCAUAUUAAAUUAAUUAUAUAAUAAUUAUGUUAUUAUAGUUUUUUUUUUUACUUUUUUUCUCUAUAUAAAUAUAAAAUUCAAAUUCGAUAUAUAUCUAAAAGAUUAAUAUUUAGAUUUUCAUCCAACACUAUGGGAUGGUAUAAUGAAUGGUAAAUUGUAUUAGAAAUCAAAAAAUAAUAACAGACUAUUUGAUAUAUAAAAAUAGGUGAUACAAUUGAAUUGAAUUUUAUUUAUUAACUAAUCGAAGUAGACUACGUAUGACUUCUGUCUUGGAAGGAACACUUAAGCAUUAUAUGUGUGGACAUUUUCAAAAUCAUUAAUUAAAAAGGUGUACUGCUUAUCAGGAAAACUAAAAAAAGAAAAGAAAAAAAGAAACAGUGAAUGAAAAAUUCAAACAAACAUGACUAUGGCCAAAAGUCCUUUGAAGAAAGCAUAUUGGAGGUCUAAUGGUGAGUGAAUUACAUUAAAAAGAAAAUUAUCUCUUUAUUCUCAUUGAAAUGUAUAUAGUGCAAUAAAUAAUAUUAAAUUUUAAUAUUGAAAUAAUUGACAAAUUAUUUCUUUUGGAUUUUGAUAUUUUUUGGACGCGUAAAAUUUUAAAUUUUUAGCUCGGUAUAAUUUUGUUUGUACUUUAUAAAUUAUUUUAUAAUUUUAGAAAAUAUUAUUACUGUUAAUUAUUAAUUAUUAAUAAUUUAAUUUAAUUAAUUAUAAUUUAAUUAUAAAUAUUAUAAAUUAAUUUGUAUGAUUAAUUAUUAUUCUGAUUUAUGAUUGAUGUGAUUGUGUAUAAUUAGUUUCAAUACUAGCAAAUUGCUCGUGGGUUGGUUGAGAAUUAAAUAUUUAUGCCGAGCAGAUAAAUAAUUUUAUGGUUUGAAUUGCGUUGCGGAGUCGGGGCAAAAUAAUACAGUUUUAGUGGCUCGACUCCCGUUAAAUAAUUGCGGAAUAUUCAGAGUGUUUCUAGUAGAUUCUAGAUCUGUUUUACGGAGGGUAAACGUCUAUAUUUUGGGGAGGUUUUGCCGAAUUUUCAGUAAAAUUUCCAAGUCUGCUACUCUGAGGCUAGAGUUUUGUUAGACCGUGGGGCUAUCCAUUCCUUGAUAUCGCCCAGUUUUGCUUUAAGGUUCGAUGUUCAACCGGUUAGACUUCAGGUUCCUAUAUUGGUCAUUACGCCAUUAAGUGAUGCUUUAGAGACCGAUGUUGUAUUUCCAUCGUGUCAGGGAGGAUCGAGAUUUGAUUUCUAAUUUAAUUCUAUUUGAUAUAAUAGAUUUUGACGUAAUUUUGAGAAUGGAUUGGUUGGCUAUGCAUUAUGCCAUGUUGGACUACAAGAAAAAGCAAGUAACUUUUCUUAUUCCUGGAGACUCAGAGUUUUGUUUUAAAAGCGAGCAGAUACCUACUCUAUCGAAUCUCAUGUCAGCCAUUACGGCUAAAAGGAUGCUUCGACGUGGGUGUUAGGGAUAUCUGGCAUUAGUCAGGGAUACCUCGACAGAAAAAGGUAGAAUUAAGGACGUACAAGUGGUAUACGAGUUUCCGAUGUAUUUUCAGAAAAGCUACAAGGAGUGCCGCCUGAUAGAGAGAUAGAGUUAUGUAUCGAUGUGGUACCGGGUGCGACACCUAUUUCUUUAGCACCCUACCAAAUGGCACCAACCAAGUUAAAGGAGUAGUUGUCGGACCUCCUGGAUAAGGAUUUUAUCAGACCCAGUAAGUUUCCGUGAGGUGCUCCUGUUCUAUUCGUGAAGAAGAAAGAUGGUACUUUGCGCCUCUAUAUUGACUACAGGCAGCUGAAUAAAGCGACGGUUCAUAACAAGUAUCUGCUUCCUCGCAUUGAUGAUCUAUUUGAUUAGCUUCAAGGAGCCUUAUGCUUCUCCAAGAUUGAUUUACGAUUGAGGUAUCCCGAGUUGAGGAUCUGUGAGGAAGACAUUCCGAAGGAGUUAUGGGCAUUAUGAGUUCCUGAUAAUGUCGUUUGGAUUCACUAAUGCUCCUGCAACUUUCAUGGAUCUGAUGAAUCGAGUGUCCAAGCCGUUCCUAGAUCAUUUUUUCAUUAUAUUCAUUGGUGAUAUUUUAGUGUACUCUAGAAGCAAAGAGGAGCACGUGUGGCAUCUGAGAAUGGUACUUCAAACGUUAAGGAGGAGCAUCAGUUGUACGCUAAGUUAUCCAAGUGUGAAUUUUGGUUAGAAAGCAUUGCUUUUUUCUAGGUCAUGUUGUGUCUAGAGAGGGUAUUCAAGUGGAUCCCAAGAAAAUAGAGGUAGUGACUGACUCGCAGAAACCGACCAUAGUGACAGAGGUUCGUAGCUUUCUGAGUUUGGUAAGCUACUACCGUCGAUUCGUGCAAGAGUUUUUAAGAAUCGUAAUGCCUUUAACUAAGAUGACUUAGAAGAACGUUAGAUUCCAGUGGACUGACGAGUGUGAAAGAAGUUUUCAGAGACUGAAAGAACAUUUAAUUUCAGCUCCAGUGUUAACCUUACUCUUUGGGACUGGUGGAUUCACAGUGUAUUAUGACGCUUCCAGAGUGGGUCUGGGUUGCGUUCUAAUACAACAUGGUAAUAUAAUGGCUUAUGCAUCCAGGCAAUUGAAGAGGCAUGAACAGAAUUACCAUACUCAUGAUUUGGAGAUGGCAGCAAUAAUCUUUGCCCUAAAAAUCUGGAGGCACUAUCUCUACGGGGAGACAUGCGAGAUAUAUGAUUGUAGUAUUCUCUACCAUCUAGGUAAAGUGAAUGUUUUGGCAGAUGUCUUGAGCAGGAAGUCAGCAAGUAACCUUGCUCACAUCAGUACAGAGAAGAGACCUCUAACCAAAGAGUUGCACGAAUUAUGCGACCAAGGGUUGUAAAGUGAGCUAUUAGAAUCGGGAGCACUGUUGGCACAUUUCAGUGUUAGAUUUGUGCUUGUUAAAAAAAUCAAGUUAGCUCAGAGUUAGGACCCACAAUUAAAAAAAAAUCUUGGAAGAAGUGCAACAGGAUCGAGCUAAUAAUUUUGUUAUAGAUGAUGACGGUACUCUCAAGAUGGGCACUAGGCUGUGUGUUCCCAAUAUGGAUAAUCUCAGAAAAUAGAUUUUAGAAGAGGCUCACUGUAUAGCUUACAGCGUGCAUCCAGGUUCUACCAUGAUAUAUCACAAUUUGAAAGGUAAUUAUUGGUGGAAUGGAAUAAAAAGGGAUAUGGCAAAGUUUGUCUCCAAGUGUCUAACGUGUCAGCAGGUUAAACUAGAGCAUCAGAAGCCAUUAGGGUUAUUGCAACCGCUUCCCAUACCAGAGUGGAAAUAGGAAAGGAUUACUAUGAAUUUUAUUUCGAAUUUACCCAAGACUUCGGCUGGUUAUGACUCUAUCUGGAUAAUUAUGGACUGAUUGACUAAGUCAUCGCAUUUCCUUCUUGUAAAGACUACUUAUUUUGUGGCUAAGUAUGCAUGAGUGUAUCUAAAGAGAAUUGUCAGUCAGGGGACCACAGUUCGCUUCAAGAUUUUGGAGAAAGCUACAAAAAGAGCUUGGUACUAUAUUGGACUUCAGUACAGCCUUUCACCCCAAACUGAUGGACAAUCGGGGAUGACAAUUCAAACCUUAGAGAAAAUGUUUCCGAUGUGCGUGAUAAACUUUGAUGGUCAGUGGGAUUAGUACCUACCAUUGAUUGAGUUCGCUUAUAACAACAGCUACCAUGCAAACAUUGAGAUGGCCCCUUAUGAGGCAUUGUACGGCUGGAAGUGCAGAUAUCCUGUGUGUUGGAAAGAAGUUGGCGAACGAAAGUUAGCAGGACCAGAAUUGGUUCAUAUCACUUCAGAGAAGAUUCAUAUUCUCCGUGAGUGGUAGAAGACAGCUUUCAAUAGGCAGAAGAGUUAUAUGGACCCAAAGUAGAAGCAUGUGGAGUUAAGUAUUAAGGAGUAUGUGCUCUUAAAGGUGUUCCCUAUGCGUGGUGUGAUGCGGUUUGGAAAGAAAGGCAAGUUGGCCCCUCAUUAUGUGGGACACUUUGAGAUUAUUAACAGGAUUGAAGAGGUAGCAUACAAGUUGGACUUAGCGCCAAAUUUCUCACAUGUACAUCCGGUAUUUCAUAUAUCCAUAUUGAGAAAGUAUAUUUCGGAUCCUUCGCAUAUAUUGCAGCCUCAAUAUGUGGAAGUAAGCGAAGACUUCACUUACGAGGAACAGGUCGUGGAUACUCCAGUUCGCCAACUACGCUCUAAGGUUAUACCGAUGGUUAAGGUGUUGUGACGGAAUCAUUCGUCAGAGGACUGUACCUUAGAACCGAGCAAGAGAUGAGGAACCUUUAGUCUCAUUUGUUUCAAUCUUGAAGUAAGCUUUGUUUCUUUCAAAACUUGAGGACGAAUUUUUUUCUUAAAAGGGAUAAAAUGUAAUACCCGUAAAUAAAAAAUAAAAAUAAAUAAAUAAUAAUAAUAAUGAUAAUAAUAAUAAUAAUAAUAUAUAAAACACAAAUUUUCCUUCUCCCCUCUUCCUCCCCCCCCCCCACCUUCCUCUCCUCCUCCCUUUCUUUUUUCCACCGCUGCUGCCACUAUCCAGCCGUCGGAAAUUCCUCCUUCUUCUUCCUCUCCCUUGCCAGUGUCGCCUCCUUCUUCCUUUCCUUUGCUGCCAACAUCGAGCUUGAAGAAAGGAAGCUGCCACUAAGCAACAACCGUCUACCACCCUUUUCUUGUAAAUCCGAUGCCGAAAAACGAGCUUCCCACGGUCAAAAACCUCUAAGCCAAGCUCCACUGCCGUUUUUUCCUCUGCCGGCGGCAGUAUAUAGCCUCGCCGAAAUUGAAACUUUCUAGCCUCGAUCCGGUGGCUUCCGGCAAGUUUUUGGCAAAAGCAUUUGUAUUUUCGAACUCCCUGCAACUCAAGCUUCAUGUAGGCGCUUCCGGAUUCAAAAUUUGAAACCGUUGGCGGUACCGGCUUUAGGACCUCGGUGUUUUUCGGACGCGUAGAAUUUCAGAUUUUCGGCUUAGUAUUAUUUUGUUUGAACCUUAUAAAUUAAUUAAUAAUUUUAGAAAAUACUAUUACUAUUAAUUGUAAAUUAUAAAUAAUUUAAUUUAAUUAGAUUUAUUUAAUUAUAACUUAGUUAUAAAUGUUAUAAAUUAAUUAGAAUGAUUAAUUAUUAUUCUGAUUUGUGAUUGUGUAAUAUUAGUUUAAAUACUAGCGAAUUUCUUGUGGGUUGGUUGAGAGUUAAAUGUUUUUGCCGAGCAGAUAAAUAAUUUUGUGGUUUGAAUUACGUUGUGGAGUCGGAAAAAAAUAAUAUAGUCUUAGUUGCCCGACUCCCUUUAAAUAAUUGCAGAAUGUUUGAAGUGUUUCUAGCAGAUUCUGUACCCGUUUUACGGGAGGUAAACGUCCAUAUUUAGGGGACGUUCUACCGAAUUUUUGGUAGAAUUUUCGAGUCGGAAUUUCUUAGGCAGUCUAAUCUAGGAGUCUAACCUAGGAAAAAAUAAGAAUAUCUUAUUAAUUGAGUUAUUUUCAUGAAUAGAUAAUCCAUCCAACCAGCUAGCUCCACCUGAGGCGUAGGAGCAGACUGCAGAGCGCGGCAGGACUGUGAGUUAAAGUCAUAUAAUCAACUGAUUUUAUGUCAUGUCUAAAUAAAAUGCAUUGUUAAUUAAUUAAUUAUUAUUAUAAUCAUUAUUAGCAUUAUUAUUAGGAAUUUUAUUUGAUUAAAAAUUAUUACGAUUAUUAUUAUUAAUUUUAUUUUCAUUAUUAUCGAUAUCAUUAUUAAUAUUAUUAUCAUUAUUUUUGCUAUCAUAUUUAUUGUUAUUUUAAUAUUAUUAUUAUUAUUAUACUUAAUUUUUAUGUUUGCUAUACUCGAAACUAUUCAAUUUUAAUUCUUAAUAUGUUAUUGAAUAAUUAUGUUUACUUAUAAUUUGUACUAUUUACAAUUAUUACUGAUGUUAUGAUUAUAAUUUCAGGAUGAGGCGGCAGUAGAACAUGCCACCUGAUGGAUUGCAUUAGAACUGCAUGCGCACCGGUAUUAAAUAAAGACAUGUAGUAAAAGAAUAUUUUUUUAGGAUAUGCCCUGCUAUAGUAUAACUCUCUAGGCUAUAAAAAUUUUGAUCGUCGGAGGAAAGGUCUCUGGUCAAACGUUGCUCUUUGGGCACCGGCUUUAUUGGAAAUUAAGUGAUCAGGCUGGAUGAAAGGACCGUAGUCAAGCUUUGCUCUCUGGGCGCUAGUCUUAUUAGAAUAACAGAGUGGAAUGGCUAAUAGGAUUGGAGUUUAGGGUUCUACUGAGGUACUCGUCUCAUAAACAUUUAAAUUAUAUUUUUCUAAAUCAUGGCAUAUGACACAUGAUUUGAUAUAAUAUGAUAGUUUAUUCUGAUUAAAGAAAUAUUUUAAUGAGAUGGCUAUAUUUAUUUUAGAAUUAUAUGAUUUUAACUCAUUCUCGAGGCUAACAGUCUUAAUUUUAAAUUUUCAGGUGACAGGUAGGUUCUCCGUCGUCUUUCUCUUGAUAGCCCGACUUCCUUUUCUUUCAGGCCCAUUGUAAUUAAUUUUUAUUUUUUGCAUUUCGAACUAUUUAAAAAUCUAGACUCUCUGCAGUAGUGGUUUCAAAGCUUGAACAAUUUAUUUUAGUCUGUUAAAACUAUGGAAAAAUAUUAAGCGAUCAUGCUGGUAGAUUGAUUUAAUUAUGUUGUGGUCAUGCGAACGAAUUGUUGGUAUAUUUUAGUAGCAUAUAUAUAUAUAUAUGCAUAUCUAGAUUGUUGAUUAGUUAUGCUUGCUACGGAUUUUAGUGACCUUAAACCUAUCUAUUCCCUAGUGCUGAUCACAGUCCCACCCGACCUAUUCUCAAACUUUAAAUAGGUAGGACGGCACGGCUGCUUCGUUGAGCCGGGCCACGGAAUCGAGAGCUCCAAGUGGGCCAUUUUUGGUAAGCAGAACUGGCGAUGCGGGAUGAACCAGAAGCCGGGUUACGGUGAUACGACCUUGUGUGCCCAUGCAAGGCAGAUCCAAGAAUGUGUGCCUCGGCCGAAGGGGACGGCGCCUCAUGCGUCGGCAUGCUGCAAGGUUGACUAUUGCUUGGUUUCGGGCAUCUUAUGACAAUACAUCGCCAGCAAGGGCGAUGCCCAUGCUCCAUUUUUGAAUUUUUCCGAAAAUGGGCGCCGGUGGGCCUACCGUGUCCCGAAAAUUUUUCGAAAUCCGGAACGGGGCGGAGGGGGCUAGGGUGUUUGCGGGCCAAUUCCGUGAAUACCGAUGCCUAUCUUGCAGCCCAGACAUGCCCCCGUGCCCAGGCUCCCCAGCCCCCCUAGGGGGUGAGGCAUACUGCACCCCCCUAAAUAGGCUAAGAAGCAUGUUGAAGUAAUCGAAACAUAAUCUAUCACAAUUGUAUUAAUAAUAUCCAAGCACGCUACCAAUUUCUUAUAUCAUUGAGAUAAACGAGGUCAACAAUUUUAACAUUUUAAUAAUUUGGUAAGGACACAUAACAUGGAAAAUAUACAUUCUUUUUCUUCCUUUCAGAUUCCAAUUAAUGAUGGGUUAAUUUUUCUUUUUACUCCAGAUCUUGUCUGUUUUCAUUUUGGUAGAGAAGUCAUAUUCUAAAUGUUUUGUUGGGAUCCAUACAAGUUCUUGUUAAUGCUCUGGUUGACUUUACGUUUGGUGCAGUUAUAUGUGUACAAUUUGAUCAUAAUAGAUAAGAUAUUAGUGGGUUGGAUUGAUUGGUCUAGAGACUAGAUGUUAACUUAAAUUAUAUUAAUUGGUUUACAUUUAUUUAAAAUUUAAAAUUAUUAAAUUUUAAUUUAUCGGCUUUUAGUUGGGUUGGAUUUUAAAAAUACAAUCUAAAAGUAAAAUUCUAUUUAAAUAAAAUUAUAUAUGAUUGUAUAAUUAAAUUAAAUGAAUAGAUAGAAUUAAAUAAAUAAAAAUUAAUUUAAAAAAAUAAAGAUCAAAAUUCAGUAUUAUUCUUUUAUGAUAAAAAGUAGAACUAAGAAAUAAUUUUAAGAGAUUAAGAGAAGAGAGCGUCAACAUGAAAAAGCAAACUAUUAUCUAAAGCCUUAGAGUUAUGAAAGAAAAAAAAAUUAUAUAUAUAUAAAACGAUAUAAUUUUAUAUAACACGUGUUCUAUAUAUAAUUUUUAAUUUUUAAUUUUAUAUCAGAUUGAGUUAGAUUUUACUAUAUUUUUUAAAGUAAAAUCUUAGUCCAACCUACUCUUACUUGGUUUUAGAAAUUUUCAAACCAUUUUCAAUCCAAAACAGUUUAAAUCUAAUAUAUAUCUUUUUUCACUUUUUAUUGAGUUUUUUUGGAUUAACCGAUUUGGGAGAAUACCCUAAUAAUAGAUCUAUGAAAAUGCUAGCAAGGCUCAACACUCUGUGUAGAUUCCCUUUCUUUCUGGAGUUAGUCAAUUUUAUUAUUAUUUUAAUAAAAUAUGUAUUAUUAUUGAUGUAAUUUAAUAUUUUUAAUUAAUAAUUAAAAAAUAAAAUUUAUAGUCAACUCCCUCUUAAAUGUAACUACAAUUUAAUUUUAACGCUCGAUUGUUAUUUAAAAAUUUAAAUUCAUUACUUGAACCUUGAAAUUGAAUUGUGCAACAGCAACACAAACCGAAAAUUAACAAACUGAGCCCGACCUUAAUUGAAUUAAUUAAUUAAGGCGUGAGUUAAGUAAAUUGGUGAAAUGUAGAAUUCAACUAAUAAAAUUUGACUUGGGUUUAACGAAUACCAAAAUGACUAGAACUAGCCACUUGAUUGUUGAUAUGUUCAUAUUAUAUAUAUAUAUAUAUUUAAGGAGCUGUAGUGAUUUAUUGGUAUAUUUUAUAUACAUAAUAUGUAGAAAUAUGUGCUUAUUACCUCACUUUAGCUUUAUUGUUUAAUUUCAAGAGUUAAUAACUAAAAAGAAAAAAUACGAGCUAAAUAUUCAUAAACGAGCUUAAAUUGGACUGCCACUGCUGAGACUCAGAAUAAAGACGCAUGGACUACUAACUUUACAGGCCUAGCCGAAUAUAUGAAGACCCACAAAGAGAUAUUAAUUAAUUAUUAUACAAUUAUGGAUAACUACUUUUAAGUUGUUUGUUUUUAUUUAAGAUAAUUAAAAGAUAAUUAUUAGAGGUGUUUUGUUUAAAAAAGAACUUUGCAGAAGGAAUCUCUACAAGUAGUAGAGAUCAAUUAAAUAAAAAAGAGUUCAGUUUGUACCUGUCCAACUGGGCCACUAAAACUGGACAUCCAAAUAAAAAAUCAAAAAAAUUAAAAAACUGAACUAGAUCUACAUUGAUACUAUAUUAGAAAUUGAAUUAAUUAAUUAAAAAAAUUAAAUAUAUAAAUGACAUAUAAAAUCUAAUUAAUAGAAUUGGGUUUGAGUCUAUUUAAUAAUAAAAUGACUAUAACUAAUAAUUUGGUUGGUUGAAGUAUUUUUUAUUCUUUUAAUAAUGUCGGAUCUCUAACAAAAGUUAUUAACAUUAUUAAUGGAGAUGUAAUAACUAAUUAAAUAAAAAUUUAUGUAAUAAAUAAUUAAAUAAUUAUUUUUGCAUAAGAUAUGUGAUCACGUCAAUAUUUUUAUUUUUAUAGUACGAGGAGAUGUACUAAUAUUGUUUUAAGUACCUCAACUAGCAAGUAAACAAUUUUAUAUAUAUAUAUAUAUAUAUAUAUAUAUAUAUAUAAAGAUAUGGGUUGACCAAAGCAGAUAUUAUGAAACCCUUUGGAAAAAGAGAUAAAAACAAACUAUAAUUGAGGCCAAUUUAUAAUUAUUAAAGGUUUCUUUUUACUUAUAUAAUGAAGCCUUGGAAUCACAAACUCUGUAACAAAGGAAAAAAAAAAAAUACUAGUAAGAAGUGAGAAGCAUAGAGAAAGAGAGAGAGAGAGGGAAAGAAAAGAUGGUUCUUCGAUUUGCUUAUUGUAUUAUUUUCUUUCAUAUUUUGCUUUUGAUGGUAACUUCUUGCUUCUACUUGAAAGCAUGCCUUCGAGUCUUAUUAUCAAUAAACAUAGUUCAUUAUAUGAUUGUUUCUUUUUCAACAGAUUUAGAACUUUUAUUAUUCUGAAACAAUAAUUUGGUUCGUUUCCUUUUCCAAUUUUGUUUAUAUUUUUUUAUUGUGAAAGAAAAUGCCAAAAGAAAAAAAGAUUUUCAUCCUUGGCUAAGUUUAUCAAGUAUGCAGUUUAGUGAGCUACUGACCACAUUUUGGUUAUGUAAAACAACAAUAAACUUGGCGAAAUUCUAAGACAUACCAAGAUGUUCAAUUUUCCUUAUCACUAUUAAUUUUAUAUUUAUGGUCAUUAAAUUUUGCGGUAGUUAUACAUUAAUCUACAUGACAAUUGAGUCUAAUUUAUCUUCUUUUUCUGAUGUAUAAUCUCAUGUGCAGAGUGGCCAUGCAAAAGGAAUCCGAGAAGUACCUAACCAAGAGCAUUCCCACCAAAAUAUAAAGGAUGUUGUCAAGGAUAAAUCAGUUCAACUGUAUUACAAAAUCCUGGGCGAGCUUUUCAAAAGGCCUGCAACUGUUGGUCCUCCAGGGCCUGGAUUACCAGGAAAAGGAAUGGAAUUUGAUGACUUUGUGUUUGAUUACAUUGAAGCUCCAUUUAUAGGCUUGUUCACUCCUGAUGAUAUAUAUGUUGGCAAGGUUUUGCCUAUCUAUUUUCCUGUUCAAGACCGUUCUUCUUACCUUCCUUUCACCAUUCAAAACGAAAUGGUUGAUUCUUCCAUUACUUAUCCAUUGUCUGACCUGCCAAAGAUUUUCCAGCCC
rnacentral:lncRNA from 1 species